ACACUUACCUGGCAGGGGAGAUACUGUGAUCGCAAAGGUUGUUUUCCCAAGGCAAGGUUUAUCCAUUGCAUUCCAGAUGUGCUGACCCUUGCAAUUUCUCCAAAUAUGGGAAGCUUGAUUGCAUAAUUUACAAUAGGAGGGCUUGCGUUCAUGCUUUGCCCUG